UUAAAACCAGUUACGUUACUUUUUGUUAUAAGGCGCAGAGGCAGGUUUUCCUCGGAUAUGCAUCACACUCCCUUACGUCCUCGGCUUCUCCUCCCUGCUGCCCCAGGACGAGCUCCAUGAAGGCAGCAUCUGUGACUGCCAUCCCCGCCUGGCUCCACGCCCAGAACCUGACAUGUACAUUUAACACCGACAGCUGAGUCUCACCUUCCACCCAAGACAACUAAUCUGCCAGCCUGCAGGAAGCGAUUGUGCACACAGCAGCCCCUGGUGGUGUGGAGUGUGAGAGAGCUUGUUCAAAAGAGCCUGGCACCUCCCUCCUCUCUCACUGCCGCAUCUCUGCACCUGUAAGACCCCCCUUCCUCCACGAGUGGAAACAGCUCGAGGCCCUCACCAGACGCUGGCAACUGCUUCU